rnacentral:rRNA from 1 species
CAAGUCGAACGCGAAAGUUCCUUUCGGGGAGCGAGUAGAGUGGCGCACGGGUGAGUAACACGUAGGUAAUCUACCUUUGGAUUGGGAAUAACCACCGGAAACGGUGGCUAAUACCGAAUAAUGCAGCGGCACCUAAUGGUGACAGUUGUUAAAGCGGGGGAUCGCAAGACCUCGCGUCUAAAGAGGAGCCUGCGGCGGAUUAGCUAGUUGGUAAGGUAACGGCUUACCAAGGCGAUGAUCCGUAGCCGGCCUGAGAGGGCGGUCGGCCACACUGACACUGACAUACGGGUCAGACUCCUACGGGAGGCAGCAGUCGGGAAUUUUGGGCAAUGGGCGAAAGCCUGACCCAGCAACGCCGCGUGAAGGAUGAAAUCCCUCGGGAUGUAAACUUCGCAAGAACGGGAAGAAUAAGUCGGUGCCAACACCAUCGACGAUGACGGUACUGUUUGUAAGCUCCGGCUAACUCCGUGCCAGCAGCCGCGGUAAUACGGGGGGAGCAAGCGUUGUUCGGAUUUACUGGGCGUAAAGGGCGUGUAGGCGGCCACCGCAAGUCGACUGUGAAAUCUCCGGGCUUAACUCGGAAAGGUCAGCCGAUACUGCGGGGCUAGAGUGCAGAAGGGGCAACUGGAAUUCUCGGUGUAGCGGUGAAAUGCGUAGAUAUCGAGAGGAACACCUGCGGCGAAGGCGGGUUGCUGGGCUGACACUGACGCUGAAACGCGAAAGCUAGGGGAGCGAACGGGAUUAGAUACCCCGGUAGUCCUAGCCUUAAACGAUGAAUGCUUGGUGUCUGGGGUUUUAU